AGCGUCUUAGCGCAGUCGGUAGCGCGUCGGGCUCAUAACCCGAAGGUCCCUGGAUCAAGACCAGGAGACGCUA
rnacentral:tRNA from 3 species